AGAGUUUGAUCCUGGCUCAGGAUUAACGCUAGCGGCAGGCCUAACACAUGCAAGUCGAGGGGCAGCAUUAGUACUUGUACUAGAUGGCGACCGGCGCACGGGUGCGUAACGCGUAUGCAACCUACCUAUUACUGGGGGAUAGCCCGGGGAAACCCGGAUUAAUACCGCAUGACACUGCGACAUCAUCGGAUGAUGCAGUUAAAUUUUCAGAGGUAAUAGAUGGGCAUGCGUAUGAUUAGUUAGUUGGUGAGGUAACGGCUCACCAAGACUGUGAUCAUUAGCGGGUCUGAGAGGAUGAUCCGCCACACUGGUACUGAGACACGGACCAGACUCCUACGGGAGGCAGCAGUGAGGAAUAUUGGUCAAUGGGGGCAACCCUGAACCAGCCAUGCCGCGUGCAGGAAGACGGCCUUCUGGGUUGUAAACUGCUUUUAUACAGGAGCAAAUAGUCCCUGCGGGGAAAGUUGAGAGUAUUGUAUGAAUAAGCACCGCUAACU
rnacentral:rRNA from 1 species